rnacentral:rRNA from 1 species
GACGAACGCUGACGGUGUGCUUUAGACAUGCAAGUCGAACGAGAAAGCCCUUCGGGGUGAGUACAGUGGCGAACGGGUGAGUAACACGUGGGUAACCUGCCCCUCGCAGGGGGACAACCGGGGGAAACCCCGGCUAAUACCCCGUACGCUUGCCGGACCGCAUGGCCCGGCAAGGAAAGGUAGCUUCGGCCAUCCGGCGAGGGAUGGGCCCGCGGUCCAUUAGCUAGUUGGUGGGGUAACGGCCCACCAAGGCGACGAUGGAUAGCUGGUCUGAGAG